rnacentral:rRNA from 1 species
UACGUAGGGGGCGAGCGUUGUCCGGAGUUACUGGGCGUAAAGCGCACGCAGGCGGUCUGUUAAGUUUGGAGUGACAGUUGGUGGCUCAACCACCAAAGUGCUUUGAAAACUGAUAGACUUGAGGGCUUCAGAGGGACACGGAAUUCCGGGUGGAGUGGUGAAAUGCGUAGAGAUCCGGAGGAACACCAAAGGCGAAGGCGAGUGUCCUGGGGA